CAUUUUAUUGCCUGCAUCUUCUAGAUGUAAAAUGGAUCUUUGGGGCUUUUUUUUCACCUCCAACCUUCUUCAUUCCUUUCUGUUCUGAAUGACAAAUAUGUGGUCUGUAUUAUGGCCAAGGAGACAUGAUGUAUGAAAAUGGCAUCUGCUUUCUCUGUGGGUUUAGUGUACAUUUUUAAUCAAUAUCUGCCCAUUUUACUACCUGUGAAACCUCACCUUUUUUUUCUUUUCUGAGCAAGUUGUAAAUACAGUGUCAAUUUACAUUGCAUUUAAAGCACACAAAAUCUUGCUUGGCAUUUUUCACCAGGCCUCAGAGUUACCACGCUGUCAUGCAUACCUUGUAAAGCAGAAAGUGCACUUGGUGAUGCAUGCUCCCUCCUCAAAACAAGCUAGCAUUUGUCAGUUCACUGGACAAAAUUGGCAGUGUCCUUAUGUUGGAGCCAAAUCAAAAUUCAGAUCAUGGCUAAAGACGCAGCAGUAGCCACACAACAUGCUUUGCUUUUCCCAGGAUCCAUCCUGCCUCUUUCUCUGUCCCUUUCUGGGCCUCCUCGUGUGCAUCUUCACCUUUAAUGCUACGUGCUUUUUAAAUUUUAAUUAGUGAAAUUACUCUUUAGUUACUGGACAUUGUUGUCUUCACCAACAAUGUUUUCCUCAGGAAAGCAGCCCAUUCGGCUCAUUCAUUUCAUACCAGCCUGCAUGUGUACUGUUUGCUCACCUUUCACUUUCAGUAGUCAAGUCUAGAGAUUAACUAUUUUUCCACUUACCCUCCCUGCCAGCCACACACAAGAAGAUGGAGAAACAGAGGCACACACAUAGUUCAUAAAAAUAAUACCAAAGCCCCUCAUUCCUCACAGGGAGUUUAUGUAGGGGUACAGAAGAGUUGCCCAAAGGUUCUUGAAGUUCUGCUUAAAGUGAGAGUUAAGUAUUUCUAGUUCAUGUUUGCAAAUGGAGAGACAUUUUAGUAGUCUGCAACUGAUGACUUGCAUCCUUUAAGAACAGAGCCUGGUUUAUUGAGGGGAAACAUGUUGCCGCUUGUGAUUAAAUACACUUUAUGGUCUCUGUGAGGACUUUGUAAAAAGGCCAAUCCUAUCAAUGGUUAACCAUGUCAAUAACAAGACUGGGAAAAUUGUUAAUGAUAUAUUUCACUUAGAGUGCAGUCAUCACCAGCAGUGUGCCAGGCUUCCUGAUUUACUGCACGAAUAAUGCAGUCAGGAGCAUCAGGACUACCUCACUUGGAAUAUUUCCUUCCAAAAUGCAGUGUUAUGUAAGGACCAAAUUCUCUCCAGUCAUGGUAGGUUUGAUUUCAUCUUUGUCUUCCCAAAGCUGGGAUGACAGCAGUAACUUGUGCUAGAGAGUCCUUGGCCUUGGACCAUCUCAGUUCCCGCACAUUAUGCUGACUGGACCCUUUUGUUAUGCAAACGCUGAAUCAAGCUGACUGUAGUGGAAGAAAGGAGCUAGUUUGCACUGGCAGGUGGCCCUGU
rnacentral:lncRNA from 1 species